GCGGAGGAUCAAGCACAAAUGCGCCUUAACAAGGAAAGAGAUGAAAAAGAAAAAGAAAGAAAGUUGAAAGAAGAAGAGCAAAGAAAAAUAGAAUUAGAGAGAAGAAAAAGAGAGGAAGAGGAAAGAGAAGAAAAAGAGACAAGAAGAAGAAAAUAAAUAGAGAGAAGAAAAAUAGAGGAAAAGGAAAAAGAAGCAGAGAGAAGAAAAGAGGAAGAGAGAAUAAAAGAAAGAGAAGAAAAGGAAGAAAUUGAAAGAAAAGAAGUGGAAGAAAGUGAUCAAGAGAAACUAAAAACAAUAUCUCCUACAACCACAAUGGAACCAAAACUCUUAAGGAGAGGUUUUCUAUCCUUUCACUUUUCUUCAUUUAGUUUUGAAAGUCCACAAUCUCACUUUUCUUUCCAAAAAUUUGCCAUG
rnacentral:lncRNA from 1 species